UUCUUGUUUUUUAUAUGUAUACGGUUACUUGUUCUAAUUUUAUACUUUGAGCAGUGCUUAGGCAGAUCACAGUGCUGCUUCCUGAUUAAUACUCUGCUUCAUCUGCUUGUGGUGCAGAGAAUGGACUCCAUGUAGAUCCCCAUUUGGAGUGGGAUACUUCACUGUCUCCUACCCUGCGCCGCUUGACUCAUUUCAGAUCUUUGAGUUAAUAAUAAGUACCGUCUCCCGCAACAAAGAAGUAUCUUUGAUGAGUGUUGAGAGCUGGAAUCAUCUAUGGGUAUAAAGGCAACUAUUUCGGGAGCAGUUUGAUAUUAUGUCCAGUUAGCAAUAUAAUGGUGUAGUAGUACAGCUUGUCUGUUGGAGCCCAUGACUGGCCCUGUGAUCUGCUUCUCCAUGGAAGCUUUUCUCCACUAUUAGAGGGAGACACAUAGCUGCUAAUGAGUUUCUGAUAGUUUUCCUCCAAGGUUAAAUGUCUUUCAUAAACAACAUGGGUUACCAUAAUAAAAGCUUUGUUUGUUAAUAUAAGAAGAAAGUAGAGAUAAUAUCUAUUGUUAAAUAUCAGAGUAGUUCAAAACCUAGAAGUACUUUGAAGAACAGAAUAGUUUGAGUUCAAAAAGAUAAAAUUAAACAUGAAUUAACUUUGACCGUCUGUCCACUCUUGCUUUCAUAGUGAAACAGCAUAGUCAGGGAAGUUUGACCUGCCUGGACACAUUAUUCCAGCAAUCAUACAAAAAGCAUUUAGGAAUAUUUGGAGUUUUGAAAGAUUUUUUUCUUUUGAGGCUACAGUGUGUAGCUUGGGCUGGCUCCAAGUCACAGAUAUCUACUCAUUUCUUCCUUCUGAGAGCUGGGAUUACACCUCUGAGCCAUCCAGCCUGGCUUCACAGUCAACACUGUAUGAUCCUGGGCCAUUAUACUUUUUAAUGGGCAAUAUAUAGAAUUGAAUUCUUUUCUCAAAGUAAGAAUGAAUAAUUGAAUAGACAUUAUUGGUCUAUUUUAUAUUAAUAUUUAUAUCUCAGUGUACCCAACAUUUAUUUGUUUUUUAUGUUUUUCUUCUCACCCUGGUUGGUGGGCACCUCUCAGCCUUCUCUGCAGGUCCAGGUGCUGCUUGCUCCCUGCGUGCUCACUAGCUGCCUUCUGCAGAGGAGAUCUGCUUAUUGUUUCCUAAUUUUAUUUUACAUUUUUAAUUUAGAUAAAUUCCACAGUUAGACUAACAGUAGUGUACAUCAUAGCAAAGAAGAUCAUCUGUACCCUGGGGCUACUUUGAAAGAGGUGAUGGUUUCUCUUUCCUGACAUCCUCAUUGUCUGGUGCCUUCUCUUCUCAUUGAGCUCAAGUGAUGGGUGAUUUGUCUUGUCUCCUGUGCAGUUGCUGAAAGUGAAUACAGUACACAGCUUUAGGACCUCCCUGCUUCCAUAUCGAGCAUUUGGUAUGUAAGUGAUUUAACAGUCAUGCAGUCAGGAUUUUCAGAGUAAAUAAUUUCCAUUCCCAUUACUGUCUCCUUGCAUUCAUGAGUUUAUGCAAGAACAUGAUACUCUUCUCAUGGAUUUAGAGAAGCUAAAACACCAAGUUAAAAUGUCAAGCUAAUUAAACCAUUUCGAGACUUCAUUUUUUUUUUUUUUUUAGUCACUGGUGAGCAAAUAGUUUUAAAUUUAUAAUAUCAGCAAUUCCACAAUUAAUUAAUUAGACACUUUAUACAAUUUUUAUACAAAUGCACUGAUCUUUAAUGUAUAGUUUUAUGUUCAUUUUCAUAUGAACUAUAAUUUUAACCCAAGAAGCAUAUUAGUGAAUAGAAUUUGAAAAUACUGUGCUAAGUUUUUACAUAAUAAAUUUUAAAAUCUUUAAAGUAACUACAGCUGAUGAAUGUUUCUUUCCACUGUCCAGUUUAUCAUGUGCCUAGUUACAUGGAAGUUCCUGUUGAUUUGAGACUCAAAUGUUGAAAUUUUAUAGCCCAGCAUCAUCUUUGUGUAUGUAUGUUUGUGUUGGGCAAAUCAUAGUGUCAUUUUCUUAUGUACACUUCCUAUAAAUAAAUAAAAAAGAACUACAGAUUUCAGAACACUUGCAAUCUUUUUUCAAAGAACGUGCAUAAUCUGUCUCAGUAGGCCAUAAACCAAACCAACCCACAAAACCCAUUAGCAUUAGGAGGAACAACCGGUCUUACACCAGAGCAUUUUCUUCACAGUCAACAGAAAGUGCAUUUAAGUUGGAAUUUCCAAAUGUGCUAUAUAGGAAUGAGAU
rnacentral:lncRNA from 1 species